AGUUAAUGAACUUGAAUAAGUAUAUAUUUUGAAAAUAUAACAUAGAGGUAAAUCUCUAUUAACUU
rnacentral:tRNA from 1 species